GAUGAAGAACGUAGUGAAAUGCGAUAAGUAAUGUGAAUUGCAGAAUUCAGUGAAUCAUCGAAUCUUUGAACGCACCUUGCGCCCUUUGGCCAUUCCGAAGGGCAUGCCUGUUUGAGUAUCAUGAACACCUCAACUCUUCAUGGUUUUCCAUGAUGAGCUUGGACUUUGGGGGUCUUGCUGGCCUGUGGGUCGGCUCCUCUCAAAUGAAUCAGCUUGCCGGUUUUUGGUGGGCAUCACAGGUGUGAUAACUAUCUACGCUUGUGGUUUUCCACCAGGGUAACCUUCAGCAGUGGAGGUUCACUGGAGCUUACACAUGUCUCUCCUCUGUGAGGACAGCCCUUUGAAUGUUUGAUCUCAAAUCAGGUAGGACUACCCGCUGAACUUAAGCAUAUCAAUAAGCGGAGGA
rnacentral:misc_RNA from 1 species